rnacentral:rRNA from 1 species
CAGCCGCCGCGGUAAUACGAAGGGUGCAAGCGUUAAUCGGAAUUACUGGGCGUAAAGCGUGCGUAGGCGGUUUGUUAAGUCUGCUGUGAAAUCCCCGGGCUCAACCUGGGAAUGGCAGUGGAUACUGGCAAGCUAGAGUAUGGCAGAGGGGGGUGGAAUUCCGCGUGUAGCAGUGAAAUGCGUAGAUAUGCGGAGGAACACCGAUGGCGAAGGCAGCCCCCUGGGCCAAUACUGACGCUCAUGCACGAAAGCGUGGGGAGCAAACGGGAUUAGAUACCCCGGUAGUCCCUGUCUCUUAUAA